rnacentral:rRNA from 1 species
AGUGGCGGACGGGUGAGUAACACGUGAGAAUUUGCCUUUAGGAGGGGGAUAACAAUCGGAAACGAAUGCUAAUACCCCAUAUGCUUUUGAGUGAAAUGGAUUUAUCUGCCUAAAGAGAAGCUCGCGGCUGAUUAGCUUGUUGGUAAGGUAAGAGCUUACCAAGGCGACGAUCAGUAUCUGGUUUGAGAGGACGAUCAGACACACUGGAACUGAGACACGGUCCAGACUCCUACGGGAGGCAGCAGUGGGGAAUUUUCCGCAAUGGGCGAAAGCCUGACGGAGCAAUACCGCGUGAGGGAUGACGGCCUAUGGGUUGUAAACCUCUUUUUUCAGGGAGGAAUCAAUGACGUGUACCUGAAGAAUAAGCAUCGGCUAACUCCGUGCCAGCAGCCGCGGUAAGACGGGGGAUGCAAGUGUUAUCCGGAAUCACUGGGCGUAAAGCGUCUGUAGGUGGUCCAAUAAGUCAACUGUUAAAUCUUGAGGCUCAACCUCAAAAUCGCAGUCGAAACUAUUAGACUAGAGUAUAGUAGGGGUAAAGGGAAUUUCCAGUGGAGCGGUGAAAUGCGUAGAGAUUGGAAAGAACACCGAUGGCGAAGGCACUUUACUGGGCUAUUACUAACACUCAGAGACGAAAGCUAGGGUAGCAAAUGGGAUUAGAUACCCCAGUAGUCCUAGCCGUAAACAAUGGAUACUAGAUGUU